UACGUAGGGGGCGAGCGUUGUCCGGAUUUAUUGGGCGUAAAGAGCGUGUAGGCGGUUCGGUAAGUCUGUCGUGAAAUCCUGAGGCUCAACCUCGGGCGUGCGAUGGAUACUGCCGGGCUGGAGUGUGGCAGAGGAAGGUGGAAUUCCAGGUGUAGCGGUGAAAUGCGUAGAGAUCUGGAGGAACACCGAUGGCGAAGGCAGGCUUCUGGGCCAACACUGACGCUCAUGCACGAAAGCGUGGGGAGCAAACAGG
rnacentral:rRNA from 1 species